GGACGGAGCACGCCGCGUGAGUGAUGAAGGUUUUCGGAUCGUAAAGCUCUGUUGUUAGGGAAGAACAAGUACCGUUCGAAUAGGGCGGUACCUUGACGGUACCUAACCAGAAAGCCACGGCUAACUACGUGCCAGCAGCCGCGGUAAUACGUAGGUGGCAAGCGUUGUCCGGAAUUAUUGGGCGUAAAGGGCUCGCAGGCGGUUUCUUAAGUCUGAUGUGAAAGCCCCCGGCUCAACCGGGGAGGGUCAUUGGAAACUGGGGAACUUGAGUGCAGAAGAGGAGAGUGGAAUUCCACGUGUAGCGGUGAAAUGCGUAGAGAUGUGGAGGAACACCAGUGGCGAAGGCGACUCUCUGGUCUGUAACUGACGCUGAGGAGCGAAAGCGUGGGGAGCGAACAGGAUUAGAUACCCUGGUAGUCCACGCCGUAAACGAUGAGUGCUAAGUGUUAGGGGGUUUCCGCCCCUUAGUGCUGCAGCUAACGCAAUAAGCACUCCGCCCUGGGG
rnacentral:rRNA from 1 species